rnacentral:rRNA from 1 species
UACGGAGGGUGCGAGCGUUGUCCGGAAUCACUGGGCGUAAAGGGCGCGUAGGCGGCCUGAUAAGUAGGGGGUGAAAUCCUGCGGCUUAACCGCAGGGCUGCCUUCUAAACUGUCAGGCUCGAGCACAGUAGAGGCAGGUGGAAUUCCCGGUGUAGCGGUGGAAUGCGUAGAGAUCGGGAAGAACAUCAGUGGCGAAGGCGGCCUGCUGGGCUGUUGCUGACGCUGAGACGCGAAAGCGUGGGGAGCGAACAGG